CAAUAGCGUAUAUUUAAGUUGUUGCAGUUAAAAAGCUCGUAGUUGGAUUUCGGUUAAGAGCGACCGGUCCGCCGUUUGGUGUGCACUGGUUGGUUUUAACUUCCUGUAGAGGACGUGCUCUGGGUUUAACGACCUGGACUCGGAGUCUACGUGGUUACUUUGAAAAAAUUAGAGUGUUCAAAGCGGGCUUACGCUUGAAUAUUUCAGCAUGGAAUAACACUAUAGGACUCCUGUCCUAUUUCGUUGGUCUCGGGACGGGAGUAAUGAUUAAGAGGAACAGUUGGGGGCAUUCGUAUUUCAUUGUCAGAGGUGAAAUUCUUGGAUUUAUGAAAGACGAACUUCUGCGAAANCANNNGCCAAGGAUGUUUNCAUNAA
rnacentral:rRNA from 1 species